UACGUAGGGUGCAAGCGUUGUCCGGAGUUACUGGGCGUAAAGCGCACGCAGGCGGUCUCUUUAGUCUGUAGGGACAGGGCACAGCUCAACUGUGUCAGGCUUACGGAAACUGGGAGACUUGAGGGCUUCAGAGGGAUGGGGAAUUCCGGGUGGAGUGGUGAAAUGCGUAGAGAUCCGGAAGAACACCAAAGGCGAAGGCACCAUCCUGGGGAGUCACUGACGCUCGGGUGCGAAAGCUAGGGGAGCGAACGGG
rnacentral:rRNA from 1 species